rnacentral:tRNA from 1 species
UGGGAUGUAGCUCGGUUAGUAGAGUGCCAGCCUAGAAUGCUCAAAGCUCUGGGUUCAAUCCCCAGCGCUGCAU